UACGAAGGGGGCUAGCGUUGCUCGGAAUCACUGGGCGUAAAGCGCACGUAGGCGGAUGGCACAGUCAGAGGUGAAAGCCCAAGGCUCAACCUUGGAACUGCCUUUGAUACUGUUUGGCUUGAGACCGGUAGAGGUAAGUGGAACUGCGAGUGUAGAGGUGAAAUUCGUAGAUAUUCGCAAGAACACCAGUGGCGAAGGCGGCUUACUGGACCGGUUCUGACGCUGAGGCGCGAAAGCGUGGGGAGCAAACAGG
rnacentral:rRNA from 1 species